AAACAGAUGAAUGACGGUACUCACCCAG
rnacentral:piRNA from 1 species